GGAAACGCAUGCUAAUACCGCAUACGCCCUACGGGGGAAAGGAGGGGAUCUUCGGACCUUUCGCUAUCAGAUGAGCCUGCGUGAGAUUAGCUAGUUGGUGGGGUAAAGGCUCACCAAGGCGACGAUCUCUAGCUGGUCUGAGAGGAUGAUCAGCCACACUGGGACUGAGACACGGCCCAGACUCCUACGGGAGGCAGCAGUGGGGAAUAUUGGACAGUGGGCGCAAGCCUGAUCCAGCCAUGCCGCGUGUGUGAAGAAGGCCUUCGGGUUGUAAAGCACUUUCAGAGGUGAGGAAGGGUGCGUAGUUAAUACCUGCGUACUUUGACGUUAACCUCAGAAGAAGCACCGGCUAACUCUGUGCCAGCAGCCGCGGUAAUACAGAGGGUGCGAGCGUUAAUCGGAAUUACUGGGCGUAAAGCGCGCGUAGGCGGUUUGUUAAGUCGGAUGUGAAAUCCCAGGGCUCAACCUUGGAAUUGCACCCGAUACUGG
rnacentral:rRNA from 1 species